UACAGAGGUGGCAAGCGUUGUUCGGAAUUACUGGGCGUAAAGGGCUCGUAGGCGGCCAACUAAGUCAGACGUGAAAUCCCCAGGCUCAACCUGGGAACUGCGUCUGAUACUGGAUGGCUUGAAUCCGGGAGAGGGAUGCAGAAUUCCAGGUGUAGCGGUGAAAUGCGUAGAUAUCUGGAGGAAUACCGGUGGCGAAGGCGGCAUCCUGGACCGGCAUUGACGCUGAGGAGCGAAAGCCAGGGGAGCAAACGGG
rnacentral:rRNA from 1 species